rnacentral:tRNA from 1 species
GCCCGAGUGGUGAAAUGGUAGACGCGUUGGACUCAAAAUCCAAUAUGUGAUGAGCAUGUACCGGUUCGAGUCCGGUCUCGGGCACCA